rnacentral:rRNA from 1 species
ACAUGCAAGUCGAACGCCAGCGCGGGAGCAUCCUGGCGGCGAGUGGCGAACGGGUGAGUAAUACAUCGGAACGUGUCCUGUAGUGGGGGAUAGCCCGGCGAAAGCCGGAUUAAUACCGCAUACGAUCUACGGAUGAAAGCGGGGGAUCGCAAGACCUCGCGCUAUAGGGGCGGCCGAUGGCGGAUUAGCUAGUUGGUGGGGUAAAGGCCCACCAAGGCGACGAUCCGUAGCUGGUCUGAGAGGACGACCAGCCACACUGGGACUGAGACACGGCCCAGACUCCUACGGGAGGCAGCAGUGGGGAAUUUUGGACAAUGGGCGCAAGCCUGAUCCAGCAAUGCCGCGUGUGUGAAGAAGGCCUUCGGGUUGUAAAGCACUUUUGUCCGGAAAGAAAUCCUCUGGGUUAAUACCCCGGGGGGAUGACGGUACCGGAAGAAUAAGCACCGGCUAACUACGUGCCAGCAGCCGCGGUAAUACGUAGGGUGCGAGCGUUAAUCGGAAUUACUGGGCGUAAAGCGUGCGCAGGCGGUGAUGUAAGACCGAUGUGAAAUCCCCGGGCUUAACCUGGGAACUGCAUUGGUGACUGCAUCGCUGGAGUAUGGCAGAGGGGGGUAGAAUUCCACGUGUAGCAGUGAAAUGCGUAGAGAUGUGGAGGAAUACCGAUGGCGAAGGCAGCCCCCUGGGGCCAUACUGACGCUCAUGCACGAAAGCGUGGGGAGCAAACAGGAUU